rnacentral:miRNA from 1 species
UGACACACAGGCUGGCAGGCAGGCAACUGCAAUUACAUUACACAGAAAAAAAAAAAGCAGACUGAUGUUACAGCAGAGAUCAGAUGAGUCCUUCAGGACUGUAGUGGACACUGAAUACACUAGCCUAGCUAUCAAUUUCCCUAUCAAAUCAGCAGCAGCUGAUCUCUGCUGUAACAUCAGUCUGCUUUUUUUUUUCUGUGUAAUGUAAUUGCAGUUGCCUGCCUGCCAGCCUGUGUGUCA